rnacentral:lncRNA from 1 species
AGGGAAUCUGUCCAAAAAAGGUGUAAGGGUUUGGGACAAUAGGAUGAAUACGAAUAACAGCUUCAGUAAUGACUCUAAGGUCGGAGCCAUUUGGUUUCUUUACAGCUAAAAGGGGGGUGUUACAAGGUCAAAUCAAAGGCAAGAAUUAAAGCUCGAAAUUCUUGAAUGAACUUAGUGGGAUCCUGGCUAAAUGAACCCAGUGUGGAUUCGAGAAAGAUCAGACAUUGGAAAAGGGACAUGAACUUGAAUUGUUCCCAAAUCUCCAUUUGCCACCUUGUGGAGAGGGCUUCAGGAUCCCACUGAAGAGUGGUCUUGGACAGAGCCCUCAGUUUCCGAGUAAAGAACCAGACCAUCAAGGGAAGCAGGGAGGGAAAAGAAGGGAGAAAUCCCAGUAAAGUCCUGUACGCACAACCGAGGUGCCUGGCGAGGUGUCGGAGCCCCAGCCUCGGGAAGGGGCCGACUCGAGGGCUGGUAACCAGGAGAAGCUGUUGCAACCACCAAGGGAGGGUGUUUCCUCAGGCCGAGAGCUUAUUGGGAGCUUCGGAGCUACGAACCACAGCAAGCUGCAGGGCAGGCAACUGACCUUUGUCACCCAGGAGUCCAGGGGAUAAGGGCCACCUGGCCACGUGGCCAGGCCGUUCCAGCCAAGGCCAGCAGCAGCAGUGCCCUGGGAGUGGCCUCUCGCAGCUGUGAAACGGGAGCUGAGGGCACCACCUGCUCAGCUCAGCCGCCUUUCUGGGCCCUGGGGUGGGCCUGGGCUGGCAGGAUGGGGCGUGAAGUCCGGGUCAGGACCCGGGACUGGCCUGCCUUGCCCUCCUGGGCAGGACUGACCUGGGGUUGUCUUAGUUCCCCAGAUGAAGUCACCAGCGGAACCAGCCGGCCUGCUACCUGACACACAAGGCCAGGAACUGAGUAUCUUUUAAAAGUUUAACUUGUUUUGUUAUAACUGAUAUAAAAUAAUGCAAACA